GGGUCAGUAGGUUGGUCGUGCCACCGGUACGUACUGGUCUCACUGAUUCCUCCUUCCUGAAGAACCGUAAUGCCAUUAAUUUGGUGUUGCGGGGAAACAGGACUGUUACUUUGAAAAAAUUAGAGUGUUUAAAGCAAGCUAACGCUUGAAUACAUUAGCGUGGAGUAAUGAAAUAGGACGAUCGAUCCUAUUUUGUUGGUUUCUAGGAUUGACGUA
rnacentral:rRNA from 1 species